rnacentral:lncRNA from 1 species
AAGUUACAUGGUCUAACUGCAGAAAUGUAACAGAUAUAGUUUGUUUGGCUUUUAACUCACUAAAAAUGUUUAAACAUAAAAAGAGGCUUAGAACAUUUACAGUCAUAUUUGAAAUCAGAAUGUGUGAAAAAUGACUUUUCUUUUCAUAUUUGAACUCAUGCAAAACCUUUGCAGUCUCCACAAAGGCACGCAGAUGCAGCGAUGGGACCUCAUGAUGGAUUGUUGGUGUGAGCACAUGGACGUGAAACCAUGAACAGAGGAAUUUGCACAGGCCAGCAUUUGUGUUUCAUUCUGAAAGCCCAGCAGAAUCAGACCCCUAACUCUGGCUGGUGUUAAACAUGAAGGCAGCGUGCAGCUUUUCUCUUGCAUGGGUUCCCAUGUAGUACUGCUGACCUGCCUCACUGCAGCUACCCUGUUCAGGCCCUUGCAUGCCUUCAGGCUUUCCUUCCGAGAGUGCUUCUGAUGCCAGAGGGUUUUGGCAACAGUUGUAAUGUGCAUGAUUAUUUCCAGUGAGGAAACCAUUGGUGAUAACAGCAAUGAGGAGGUAUGUGGGUAUAAGCCACAGCUUGCUGAAGGCAUGAGACCAUUAGGGUAUGUAAGGAUAGGCUCCUGAUGCUGUCAGAGAGGAAGCGGCUCUGCACGUGAAAUAAUGUAGGGAAGGGAAUAUGCUAAACAUAGUUUAACUCCUGAGCUGCUCCCUGUGAAUAAAGUGUUUCCAAAAGCCUUCAGAUUCGGCUUGAGCUAGGUGCUCAUUCAGCUAAUGAAAACGUUACAUGCCCUCUGUCUAACCAACCUGAUGUAUUUGCUAAGCACUACAGCGAAAAGAGAUGCUUUUUGGUCACUUUUGUUGCCAUGUUCCCUGAUACCAAUGUUGACGUUAUAAACUCAAGCAGUAUUUUAAGUUGCUGUGAUCUUAAAAUUUUGUUUUCUUACGCAGCUGCCCAGGCCAGCUUACAUGCUGAUCAGGAUCUGCUGCAGCCUGGGAAUAAUCAGGCACCAGCUUCUUGGGCAGGCGAGUAAAUCCUUACUGACAUCAAUGAACUGAAAAAUUCUGAGGCCUGGCAGUGACAAAGGGAAUAGUGAAUGAGAGCAGUAUUUCUUUAUAUUGAUCUACCUUUCCUCAUCUACUAAUAACACUGACUGUUUACCCCCUGUAAUAAGCUGUGAUGGGUGCUAUGUGGGUCUUUGCUUUCCAGUUCUCCAGAAUCAGUUCACACAAACCAAGAAAUCUCCCAGUAAAUGAGCUGGCUAGGACUAGAUAAAAUUAAGUGUAUUAAUAUUGUUAAAGCUUGCAGUUCAAACUCUUGUUAGACAAAUUUAGACAUUGAUUUUAUACCUAAGAAUUCCUCUAACCAAUACUUAGUGUCUUCAACUCAGUCUCCCAGAUGGGAAGAGCAGACUCCCCGGAAGAGAAGGGAAGGGAUGGGUUCCCCAAAGCCACCUGGGGAACCUGGGCAGAUGCUGAUGACUUUGUCUUGAUCCAAAUCCCUUACUUUGUGGAGGAAAUUGGAGUUGAUUCUGUUCUUUGGAUUUCUGCUUUUAAUGGUACUUCUCGAGCUAUUUCUGUGCAUCAUCAAAGGUGGCAGUGUGUGAGCAAUUAAGCCCAAAAUAAUAUAAUUUUUCAUCAGUUUCUCAAUCAAGAUUUGGUAUGCUUUAAAGAUACAGGACUGUUUCUGAGAAGCACCUAAAUACAGGAUGAUUUUAUAGCCUGAGGAAAGUGCAGAGUGUGACAAGUGGAUGCAACUGAAGUUUGUAAGAUGAUGGAAAAAACUGUAAGGAACAAGGAUUUAAGAACUCAUAGUGUGCAUCCACACAACACAUAGUUAAACUGUGGAACUCAAUGCCCCAGGAUGUUGUGGAUAUAAAAAUUGUCUAUGGCCUUAAAAAGUGAUGAUGAAAAGUAAUGGUUGAAAUAAAAUAAAAAUCCAUCAAGGAGUACAAAAGCCAAAGCAAGAUACUGACUCUGGCUCAAUUAAUGAGAGCUGCUGAAGUCAAAGCCAGGAAGCUGAGCUGUGGAGGCAGUGGUAUGGAGAUUUUCUUUUGUGAUCUCUUUCCUAAGUGCCUUCCAGUGGAGAAGGAAAUAUGUCCUUCCUAAACAAGAUGCUUGGUCUGAUCCUUAUACAAUAGAUUCUGGCACAAGACUGUGUAGGUACUGGUAUGGUCCUGAGCAAUAGGUUGAUGUUAAGUGCUCCUUGAAUGUCAGCUGUGCUAUGCUGUUUAGCACACGAGCUUUUUGCAAAGAUCCUUAAAGUUCAUGCCAUUGGGUUGGCACAGCAGUGGGGCAGCUGAGGGAGAGCCCAAGAUAUCUCAGUAUUCAUUACUGGCCCACUGUCAGAGAUUACUGUCCUCAAUCCCCAAGUGCCAUCCUUGCCAUCCAGAGUACACUUUUAAAUGUGUCUUAAAUUACAGCAAUUUCUGAGGGUUUUUGUAAUCCGGUCACAGAUGCACAAACUCCAUCCUCGCAAGUCCUUUAUACGCUAGACCUGGCGAAAUACAGGCUGGCCAGUCAAGAUGAGAGGUCACUAUGCAAACCCUACCCCCACCCCUACUCAUUUUACCUUUAUACAGUUUGUGGGUGCAGUAGGAGGGUCCUGUGAGAAUGCUGUUGCUCCCCUCCUUUUCAUGCUUGGAGGAUCCAGCAUUUUCCCUGGGGUGCUCUCUCAUGGUCUGGAUUUCAGUUGGAACAGGACAGGGAGGUUGAAGACAUUAAAAACUAAGGCAGAAUGGGAGCCUGCAAAGAGCUAAGUCCAUGCCAAGAAUAGAGGCAAAGUGAGGCAGGCUAAAUCAAAUGUAUCCAAGAAAAUUUACACGGAUAUGUCUACCAAGGAAAAUACACACAUUAAUAGAAGCAGAGAUUUAGGUGAAUCUAAGGCAACUGCCUUAAAUUCACCACAGUUGCCUUUCCAGUAGUUCACUGGUUUUCCCCCACAGUAGUCUCUCAUGUUUACUUUGGCAUUUGUAGGGAAAAUGUCAGCGGAGUGCUGCUGUGAGUGUGCCCUGCUGUAUGAUGUUGAGCUGUUCCAGUACCACGGCAGCUAUUUUCCAACAGAUUAACAUUCAGAUACUGGGAGAGUUCAUCCAGUUCACAUAAAUCUGCAUAGAAAUUUUAUUAACUUAUAGCUUCUAUUUGGUGGGCCACCUACAAAAUGAAAACAGAUCUCUUGCAUUCUUGUAAGAUAGAACAGGCAAAAUUAAAAAAAAAAAAGUCCAUGAAAACAUAUGCCUCACUGAAAAAAUGAAAGUACUGAUCUUUCAAACAGUGGCAUUUGCGUUCCCAGCGCCUCUAAAUAAAAACAACAACUUAAUUGUCUACUUACUGGAUUCAUUUUUUCCUUGUUUGCACUGAGAAACAUGCCAGCGGGAAGGAAAAAUGGAUGUGAGCAAAAUUAAGGCACUGGGUUGGCACUUGGGAGAUCUGGUUUCAGUUCCUGGCUCUGUCAAACACUUCCUAUGUGACCUUGUAAAUGUCACUUUUGAGCAUGUAAAACCAUCUGGCCUGAUCUAGUGAAACAUGUAUUUAAUUUUAAGAUGCAAGUAGUUCCACUUACAUCUCACACGCCGAAAUUUAAAGACAUGUUUACAUGCUGUGCUGGUUGGCAGCCACAAGGCACGGCCACUGCCAGGGCGGAGCGCUGCCCUGCUGGCUUCAGGAUCCCGAUUUUGUCCCUUUUUGCCCCAGGUUUGUCAGGGCAGAGGCAGCCACCCUCCUGCUGAGUGCAGCACCAGCACGGUGAGCUCUCGUGCUCAGCACAGGAGUAAUACAAAUAAUUCACACUGAGGAAAGCUGUGGAUUCAGAUGCUGUUGUUGUAAAUAAAAUCUGCAUUUAGGCACUGAAAUAGUGGCUUGAUUUGUUAGAGUUGCUGAGCAACCAAUGCUCAUAAAGUCAAGAGCCCAUGAACGCUUUGUACUUCAGAAAAUCAGGUCAGUCAUUUGGAGGCUAAAAACAGAAACUGAACCCCAAUUUCAGUGCUUGAAAAUCUGCCCUCGUAUAUCUUCAGGUGUACUCUGAUGCUCUGUCCCUUGUCACUGUAACCAGCCGUACCCACAGACACUGCAUAAAGCUGAGAUGCAGAAGUAAAAAUAUCAUCAUUUAACCAUUUUGUUGUUCUCCAAAUGUAAUUAAAAAGACGAGUUCCACUGAGACGUUCUAAAUAUAUGUAUAUAAUAUACAUAUGUGUAGACACAUGUUUCUAAUGUAAAUGGUAUAUAUUAUGUUAUUUUAUGGCAGAGCAGAUGUUUCUUAAUUCCCUCCCACCGCACACUGAAGCAAGAUUAUGCCAGGCUAUUUUAUUGUGAAUAAUGUGCUUGCUCCGUCAUUAAGAGGGUUAUUAAAGACAUAAACAAACUUUUAUGCCCUGCUUUUCAACAGCUGCUGGUGGUCUACAAAGUGAUAAUCCUGCUUUCAGCAAAUAUUCUUAGACUUAAAAAUAAACAAGGAGAAAAUAAAUACGCCGCACAGGCACCCGGGCUGACUUGUGAGUGGGCAGAUCCGAAGUGUGACAUCUCAGUGCCAUGGAGGUGGAGGUGGCACUGCUUCUGAGCCAAAGCCUCAGACUGUGGGCUGGAAAUGAGAUGAGUGCUCCGUGCAUUGCCCCUUCCCUCUGCCACACGGGAACUCCUGUGCUAAGCAAAUGAGCCCGACUGGCAUUUAUUUCAGUGGUGAGAGCAGGAGAGCAACAAUUUAAAAGCAAAAAAGCAAAUGCUGGCUUUAAGGAAACAAACAAACAUCUUGCAAAAAUACAGCGUGCACAAUAGCUGUUUUUUUCCUUCCUAAUUAAUUAUGUGGCAGAGACACGGCUGCAGAUCCUGUAGCCUUAGCUUUGAAGAAAAUCAGCUGAGUACGUUUAAUAACUUCAAACAAAAGGGUAGGACGGGACAAUAAAGGUUACGUGGCCGUGUUCCGUCACAGGCGCAAUUGCUGUUCAUUUAAACGGAUGUGACCCCUACACGACAAAUCUCCAAAGGUGUACGGGGAAGAAGGUUUAUUCUUAUAAAUAGGACCGAUGCCAGGUCAAGCAGGCCCCCUCACUUUGGACUUCCUAAAGAAAACAGCUUCAGACAGCUGAGCAAAAGAGUUAUGGAGAGUGCUGAGAUAGGAAAUAUCCACGGUUCCUGAUAUAUUAUGGUUGGCCCAGGAAGCAAGGAAGCUGAGAGCCAAAGGUAGUCCUAAAGGUGCUAAACUGCACAGCGCUAAUGUACACAACAACAUCCUCAUACAAGCAGAUGUUUAAAAAAAAGAAGGGGGAGGGGGGGCUGGGAAUGGCAUUUAGGCCACGUUGCACUCACCCUAGGGAGGAAAACUAAAAAAAGGGGAAUGUGGAACCAAUUUUCAAGCUUGAGCAACUGAAAGUCUAUUAAAUGAUUCUGUCAUCAACAUGAGAUGAGAAAAAAAGUAAUAAUUUAUACAACAAAUUGGGUAAUUGUAGCUGCACGGACAAAUGAUAUUUCUUCCCUGAUAACUGAAUAAACAUUGUUACAAGAGGAAGGUUAUAAGGAAAUAGCCACUUUGGUGAACUACAAGCACCAGGUCUCUGCUUCUGUUCGUGUCAGACGACAGGCACUGCAGGCUGAAGGGCACAACGCUCUGAUCACAAACAAAUAUUCUGAGCUGCUUAGGGGAUUUUUUUUUCAGAAAAUGAGCUGAUAAAGAUGGGCUCAGCUUCAUGUAACUACAAGCAAUCUCAGCCCGAUUACUGCAUCAUGUCAAAUUUAAAUCAGUCUAAUUCUCUUGAAGAUACAGCAGCGUAAACUGGAGGAAUUAACAGCAGUAAUGUGCCUUAUUACCACUUAAUUCAUUUACUGAAACUAUUAUUUUCUUAAAGGUAAACUGCAUAAAAAGCAACAAAACAAACAGGACAAACCUGGAGUGGGCAUGUCCAGAAACCACGCCAUGGGAUUGCCGUGGGAGCAAUUCCGUGAUGCUGGGCUGUUGGGUAGAACCUUCAACUGAGCUCUGGAUACGGUAGCGGCCAGCCAGGGCCGCACCUGAAGCACACAGGCAGUCCAGCAGCCGGAGCACAUAUGGGAGCACAGGCACGGCAGCCACAUUCCAGAGCUUCAGGGCUUUGGCGCUGUAUUUUCUUUUCUGCCACAGCCUUCCUGCGGGACACCUGUGGCCUUUGCAUUGUUCUGGGCAGACCUGUGCGGGGUUGUGCCUCGGGGAGCAGCCCAAGCACCAGCAGCCCUUCCUGCCGGGUCACUGCUGAGAGCAAGCCCUUAAACAACGCACCCAGCCCAGGGACUCACAGCAUGUAGGCCUGGCCUCCAAACUUGUUAGCCCUCAGACCGAGGGGAAGGUUGCAUAUGUUUCCUUACAGGGCUCGUCUAAAGCACAAACACAGUUAGAAACUCACCUUCCAUGGGAAAUGGAGGGGGCUGUGCCGGUGCAGAGCCACACCAUGUGGCCAUGAAGGUGCCCGGCAGUGGCUUGCUUAUGGCUGCACAGUGGAAUGGAAAGGAUUGGGAGCACAGGGUGUUGGAUUGCUGUGGGCUGUUGGGUCGCUGGGGAGUCAACGGGACACAGGCUGCAGGGGCCACAUGUGCUGAAAGGCCAAGGGCCGGCUCCUCUGCUGCAGGCUGGGCCUUGAGGAGCUGAACAAGAGGAGGUACAAAGGAACACGGGGCUGUGCUAGGAUUGGUUUCCUGUUUUAUGUCUUUCUGCAUAUCCACUCUAUCCAAAUGCAGGCAUGUGUGUAAACAGCGCCAGUCCCCCAUGCCUGAAAUGAAAAAUAAUAAAAAUAUAUUUACAUGACUUUAACAUUAGGCUAUUAGAAAGCAGCAGUCAGUAUAACAGAGAGGAGAAAAAAUUACAAAGAAUGAUUUGCAUAGCAAACGCAUUUCACAGUUGUUUUGGACAAAUGCCCUCGGUAAAUAUGUUUAAAGUCAUGUACAACAAGAAUAUUUUAUCACAAGUAACCAUGUUUUAAUAAACACUUCGUCUUUUGGUAUUUCAUUCUUUCUCAUCAUAAUAAUAGAAAUAUAACACCAUAUAUCACUGUAAAACACAUUUCCACAUAAAUGCUGAUAAGCACAAAAUAUUUUUCAUCAUUUACAUUUUAACUGUAAUAAUAUAUGGCAGGAUUAAAGCUGCAUCCAUCAUGUGUCUAACUAACCUUGCUGUAAUGAAUUUUUAAAUGUAAUGGUUUCUGUCACAAAGUAAAAUCAUACAUAAUAUCUUUUGACACAGUAUUCUGGCAGUACGCGAGGUUUUAAAAUGUAAAUGCAACUUCAUUUUUAAUUAGAUUUAUAAACUCUAAUCGCUAUUUUCUUUUCUAUAAACCAAAGGGGGAAAGAAAAAACGUGGGGCUGCACAAAGCCUGCGAGUUCUUCCUUUUGGAAGCGGGCACGCACCCAGGAGGAGGGAGCAGGAACAAAGGCCAGGCACCGCGCACCCACCUCGUGCCACCACCAGGAGCCGGCCAGCGGAGCUGCAAGGACAGCAAGGACAGCAUGUCCCCAGCCCUUGCCCAGCGCAGCGAACAGCCCGGCUUGGAGAGGAGAAUCAUUAAAAAUAAUUUGCAGGAGCUUUCUGUUCAGUGAGCCCUUUUUUUUUUGAUACAAUAUUUCCUUCAGUGAUUAUCGCCACGGACAUGUUCUGCCAUAUGGAUGGAGCCGGGCGAGGAGGCGGCUCAAUACCUGAGUGGUUAAUUAAGAGCUGUUGCUGGGCCACAAGAAGCAGGUUUGAAAUCCCUCUUCACUCACCGACAAUGAGUAGCUUUUUUAGCAGCAGCAGUCACUGGGGACAGCCAGAAGCGCAGGGUAAUUAUUUGAGAUAACAUAGAGCUGAAGAGCGCGUGUGCGCGCCCAUGUGUGCGAGGGGGAGCCGCGCCGGCAAGGAGGGCAAUGCUACAGAAAGUUUACAAUACAAAGGUCAACAUCUCCUAUUUUUCUGUACAGUGUCGGCAGUCUGUAAUGCCUUUUUAGAGUGAAUGACAAUGGAUUCUAUCUUUUUUUUUUUUCCUCUUAAAAAAUGAAUAUCUUAUUUGGUAUUCAAACUUCGCAACUGUGAGCGUGGGGCAGCUGGGCCAACCUGAACGAGCCAUGCUCACGUUAUUGGCGCGGAUGAUGAAAUGACUUUGAUUGCCUUGUUGCAAAGUAGCAGUAAUUCCAACAUUAACUCAUGGAAACACUGCAUACUCUCAAGAACAAAGGAGAAAAGCGGUGAAACAAAAGCCAUGAAUGAACUGAAGAACGUCCUUAACACAGACGUUUAGGGCUAAAUUCUCAGCACACUGCCACAGGAACAGCAGAGACUGUUGGCUUUAACCAGGGGACUCACCUGAGUCAGAUGAGUGUCUGGGCUUUGGCUACCACAUUGUUUGUGGUCAGGGGCACCUGGAGGUACCACUGAGGCCCUUCAGAACAUCAGUGUUCUCCAGCAGAGAUGUUCAGGGAUGCUCUUGUAGCAAUGCAUCCUGCUCAUUAGUUCUCCCAAAUGACAAAAAGCAGCAAAGUAGCUUAUAAAAGUGUUAUUUUCUACAGUGCUUCAUCUCUGAAGUGUUUAUGAAGUGCAGGACCAAGGUGCCAUUCCAGCCUACCACUGCCCAGUAUUCAGAUAGAAAGCAAACUAUGAAGCAGUGCACUGAAGUCCAUUUCAUUUCUCAGAGCUGCAGAGAGUAUGAGCAUCUGUUCUCUAACCAUCAAAGCUCAUCUACAUCAGGAGCUCAGAAUGCUAUUUCCCUGUUUGUUUGUGUGUUUCUAAGAAGGUCUUUCUACUCCUUUACUGAGAAGCCAAAUGAUGAAACCUCUGUCAUGUGUUUUUGGCAUUUCCAGAAAAUCCCACAUGUGAUUUCCAACUUAGGAGGCUUAAAUCUCCAUCCAAACAGGCGCUGUGUGCAGCUCACACAAGCAUUUAGCUUUGUGCUGUAGGGUAAAAAUAAAUUCAAGAGAGAGAACCUUCAUCUUCCUCCUCUCUACCUCCAUUUUCACAUCCUCCCAGAUGCUGGGAACAGCUCACCCAGAAUGACAGGAGACUUUGAGCAGAGGCAAUGGGAGGACAUGCAGUUACUGGGCAUCAACCAAAGCCCCAGACUAUCUGUUGGAGGGGGACAAGGCGUACCUGUGCCCCUGCUCUUUCCCAAGGCAGAUCUUGCAACCUUUGAUGUUCCUCCAGUGCAAACAAUACCACUCCAGCAGCGGCACUUUUGCCAGUGUAACUGUCUCAGCUUUGUUUAGAGACUGCCCAAUAUGUUAAUUAUCUUCUUUACCUCGGUGGCAUUAUACUGUCAAACCAUACAACAGUCUUUAGAAAAUAAAAGCUAACACCCUAAGCUGCUGUACCCGGAUCCCAUAAUAUCUAUUCACUGACAAUGCCUGAGCUGUCAGAUCAGAAGAAGCUUCAUUCGAAUAAAGGUGGGCAGAUGUGUGAUAAUGAGACAGAAGCAUACAGAUGCUAAUAUAACUGUUCAGCAGAGCAGGCUCGUCUUCGUUAGGCAGACCCAGGUAGCAGCUGCAGACUGUCAGACACUGGAAUGCUGCUUUCUCUUGAUUCUCAUUUAAGAUCAGCUUCGUUCGCUGUCUGUCAGUGAACUUUUCCCUCACAGGAGCCUGGACCCCUAGGUGAUCAGUCACAUUUCGACAUAACUAGAUGUCAAAAGAAGUUUAAGUUGUAUGACGAACUGUGAUGCAUUCCCUGUGCUGGCUGGCAGUCUCAGCCCUCCAAGGCGUCUUGUUAAUGAUCCACCUGGAAACUCUAGAGUAUUUCCCGUAUUUUGUUUUCUUAUUAAAAUACUGGCUAAGCCUUUGUCAAUAUCCAUGUCAGCAACUGUAAGCUCAAGACAAUAUUAUCACAAGCAUAAUUUGAUUUAAAAACAGAGCAGUGGACCGACACUGACCAGGUGGCAGGAGACGCACACGGAGAGAGCAGGAUGCAGGCGUUGAGCUGCUGUGAUUUAGCAUCAUCAAUUAAAACAAAAUAUUGCUGAUUUUCUCCUGGGCAGAAGCAGGGAAAAUGUAACUGAAGUUGCCCUAUGCAAUACGUCUGCAGCCAGGCAGCCAGCUCCACUGAUGAACACAACCAGGAAUAAGAUAAUGGGGAGCCUCCACAGAUGAGCACACAAUUCAAAUACGCAGGAGCUCGGAAACACAAAUAACCCGAGACUGUCACUGCACGUACUGCUGGAACCUUUCAACCAGGAGUCUCAACUCUGGCAGCCUUUCAUCUGUUGCUCAGAGCUGUUUACCCGCUCACACUCCUGUUUCAGAGAGCAGACAGGCUGAGGCUAUUUUACAUAACGUACACACGUGCCCACACAAUGCAAACUCUACUACCACAGUUGUGCAGCAAGGCCAAAUAUCGCCUGCUGCUCAGUCGUGUCAUACCAGUCUUCACAUUCCAUCUCAACUCCCCUCCUUGCUUCUCAGCAUUUGAAUUUCAACCUUA